ensembl:lncRNA
UGACGAAUUAUUGUUUGUCACUCGCUACCGUGAGGGUGGGCAAGAAGGAGUGUCCGGGGUCCAGGGAAGAGCUCCAGAGCUAGAUGAUAGACUCUGCACCAUGGAAGGACAGAAUGCCAGGUCGCUGAGGUGCUGUUUCAGCAGGUGUUCUGGCUGUAUGGACAUCCGGAGGACAUCGUGACCGACCACGGUCCCCACUUUACAUCUCCUGUCUGGAAAGACUUGUCCAGGCUGGGAGUGGCGGUCAGCCUCAAGACCAGGUAUCACCUGCAUGCCAGGUAUCACGGGCAGGCGGAGCGUACGAACCAAGAGCUGGGAAGGUUCCUCUGGUCCUACUGCAUGGACCGUCCAGGUGGGGCUCGGAUUCCAGCCUUCGUUGUGCCCCUGGGUGGGGAGCUCGAGCAAUAUCCAAGCCGUGGAGGAGUGGUUAACGAAGUUGAAUGGGGUCUGGCCCACCGCCCAUGUCCACCUGCAGG